rnacentral:rRNA from 1 species
UUGGGAAUAUUGGACAAUGGAGGAAACUCUGAUCCAGUGACGCCGCGUGAAGGAAGAAGGUCUUCGGAUUGUAAACUUAUUUUGUCAGGGAAGAAACAAAUGACUGUACCUGAAGAAAAAGCACCGGCUAACUACGUGCCAGCAGCCGCGGUAAUACGUAGGGUGCAAGCGUUAUCCGGAUUUACUGGGUGUAAAGGGCGAGUAGACGGCGUUGCAAGUCAGAUGUGAAAACCUAGGGCUUAACCUUAGGACUGCAUCUGAAACUGUAAUGCUAGAGUGCAGGAGAGGUAAGCGGAAUUCCUAGUGUAGCGGUGAAAUGCGUAGAUAUUAGGAAGAACACCAGUGGCGAAGGCGGCUUACUGGACUGUAACUGACGUUGAGGCGCGAAAGCGUGGGGAGCAAACAGG